CUCGGCGAAAAUCCAGUGCCGUGUUUUGCAGCGGCCUCUGUCUGUUUCUGGCAGCAGUGCAGCGUGAAAGCAGUGGGAAACAGAAACACUAUGGCUGCCACUCUGUCUCUUACUCAGCUAUCCAGUGGAAAUCCUAUCUAUGACAAAUACUACAGACAGGUUGAUCCUUCUGGGAGUGGACGGGUGGCGGCAGCAGAUGCAGCCCUGUUCCUGAAGAGGUCAGGCUUGGCUGACCUGGUCCUGGGGAAGAUUUGGGAUUUGGCAGACACUGAACGUAAAGGAUUUCUCAGCAAACAGCAAUUUUUCGUAGCACUGCGGUUGAUAGCCUGUGCUCAAAAUGGAUUGGAGGUGGCGCUAAAGAGCCUUAAUGUAGCAGUUCCUCCUCCCAAGUUUCAUGACACUAGCAGCCCACUCUUGGCUGGAGGGGUGGCCAUUGAUAUACCCUGGGUUGUAAAGCCUGAGGAGAAGAUGAAGUUUGACUCCAUCUUUGACAGUCUCGGUCCAGUGGGAGGAAUGUUGACAGGAGACAAAGUGAAGCCUGUGCUGCUGAACUCCAAACUGCCAGUGGACAUCCUUGGCAGGGUAUGGGAGCUCAGUGACCUGGACAGAGACGGCAUGUUAGACAGAGAUGAGUUUUCUGUGGCCAUGUACUUGGUGUACAGAGCUUUGGAGGGGGAGUCCGUUCCUAUGUCCCUACCACCUCCCCUGGUCCCACCCUCCAAGCGGAAAAAACCUUCGGUGCCUCCUGUGAUGCCCCUGCUACCCUCACCCCCUUCUGUCAAAGACAGUCGCUCCUCCCACGCUGGCUCAAAGACCAUGCCCCACCCUCCUAAACCCACCCCAGCUCCUGUCCCAUCACCAGCAGUGGUUUCUUGGGUGGUGUCACCAGCGGACAAAGCCAAAUACGAUGAACUCUUCACCAAGACGGAUGGAGACAUGGACGGACUGGUGUCUGGACCUGAGGUCAGGGAUAUCUUCCUGAAGACCGGGCUUCCCUCUGCUACGUUAGCACGCAUCUGGGAACUUUGUGACAUUGGAGACAUUGGUAAACUGACCAGAGAGCAGUUCGCCCUGGCGCUCUAUCUGAUCAAUCAGAAGCUGACCAAAGGCUUGGAUCCUCCACAGAACCUCACCCAAGAGAUGAUCCCUCCAUCUGACAGACAGAACAUGAAGAGCAAUGCAGCAAACCUGGCAGCUGACUUCUCAGCCAUCAAAGAGCUGGACUCCCUCAGCAAUGAGAUUGUUGAGUUGCAGCGGGAGAAGAGCUCUGUGGAACAGGAGGUCAAAGAGAAGGAGGAGGCCAUCAGACAACGCAGCAGUGAAGUACAGGACCUACAAGAUGAGGUGGCAAAGGAAAGUGGGGAACUGCAGCAGCUCCAGACCCAGCGUCAGAGGGUCCAGGAGGCCUUAGACGAAUUGGACCAACAGAAGUCCUCCUUGGAAGAGCAGCUGGCACACAUUCGUCAACAGACAACACAAGAGACACAACUGAUUUCCUCACUGCAAUCAGAGCAUGAAGAACAGGAAAACAGGAUAUGUCAGUACGAAGAGGAGCUUGUUCAGGCACGGGAAGAACUCCUUACUCUGCAGGAAGAGAGCAGAAAGCUGCAGCAGAAAGUCCAGGCUGCCCAGGAGCAGCUCACACCUUUACAGGAGUCAGUGCGAGACUCCUUUAAACAAGUCGCUCAGGUUCAACAAAAGGUGAACGACCUCCAGAUUGAGGAGCGAUCUGUUACUGCUCAGCUCAGCUGGAAGAGAGCCUUGGAGGACAACUCUCCUGUCAUGGUCAAUGGUUCCACAGGCUACACAGCAGAGGCCCAUGAGUCGGACCCCUUCCAGCAGGACCUGUUUGUGGACGAUCAGCCCAAAGACCUGAGAGAGGAGGAAACAGGUCCUGUCUGUGGUCUUCAGAAUGAGCAGAACGAAAGAAAAGUCAAUGAGGAUGAAGAUGAGGUGGAGAAAGAAGAGAAGAUUCUAAAUACCGUGGAUGAAGAAAAGCCCAAACCAGAUGCUUUAGAUGAUCUCUAUACCUGUCUGGCUUCCUCUGAUUUGUAUAAUAGUCUGUCAACAUUAGAGAAACGAAGGGAGAACACACUGAAGGAGAACAGUAGCAGCGAUGUCUCUGCAGAUGUUGCUGACGAUGAGAACAAAUCCUCUACAGAGAGUCCACAAAAGGUAGCAUCAUUAGACCAGGAGAACAAACAGGAGCCAGCAGAAUCCCCAGAAACCCCCUCCUCUCCAGCUGGGCCCAUGCCACCACAGACCAGCCCUCCCUCCCUCCCAGAGAUGGAUUUCUUCAAUGCAGAUCCUUUCACUGAUCAUGAUCCAUUUAAAGACGAUCCCUUUGGGAAAGGAUUAGCAGAUGUCACAGAUCCAUUUGGAGGUGAUCCUUUUAAAGGGACAGACCCAUUUGCUGCAGACAAUUUCUUCACACAAACCUCUAGUGCCCCCUUUUCCUCCGAGGACCCUUUUAUUCCCUCUGCUGAUCCAUUUGGUACAACAACAGGCGGACCUGAAACAGACCUGUUUGCAGCCAAGCUGAGUGAUGCAGCUCCUGUACUGACAGCAGGCUCUGAUCCCUUCACCUCCAAACCAUCCAAUCCAGCUGCAGCAGCGAAGGAUCCUUUCACCACUAAAGGAAACAACAUGGGUGACUCUGAUCCAUUCGGAGGCAAAGCCAACGCCUUGGCAGAGGCAGAUCCUUUUGGUUCUCACAGUGGAGCAGAUCCAUUCAGUUGUUCUCCAGUCAACUCAGACCUGGCAGUGAAAGACACCGCAGCAGCCAAUGAUCCUUUUGCUCCUGGUGGUACGACAGGAAAUGCCAGCUCAGAUCCAGAUCCCUUUGCUGUUGUGUUUGGUAACGAGUCAUUCGGCGGAGGCUUUGCAGAUUUCAGUGCCUUGACGAAGUCAAACGGCGCUGACCAUUUUGUCAUCAACAAUAAGAACCUAUUCCAGGAGGAAAGUCAGUCUUCUGUCCCCGAUGUGCCGCCUGCUCUUCCCCCCAAAACGGGUACGCCAACCAGACCUCCCCCUCCACCUCCAGGUAAGAAAUCAUCUAUGUCCAGAACGGAGUCCUCUGACUCCUUUCAGCGUCGUGGACACUUCCUCCCCCAGUCUUCAGGAGACCUCUCCUCCUCCUCCUCCUCGACAUCCCUGCCUGCUAAGGAUCCUUUAGCCGACCCCUUCGCCCCAUCCUCCCCUCCUCUUCACAACAUACGGGAAUCUGACCGGUUUGCCAGCUUUGACAAAGUGAGCACCUCCCUCUCGCCCUCACCCUCACCCUCAUCUCCAUCUGACUCUGAAUGAACACCCCACUCUCCCCUUGUUUCUCCUGGUAUUUAAAAAUAAAAUUACGUUUAACUGUUCUAAUCCUUACGAGCCAGCCUCAUUAAUCACUCCAUCCACUGUCAAUUUAAAACAGCUGAAAACUGAACCACCCUGCUGACGUGCAGCAUCACAAACUAACAGUGCUGUUUUGAUAGUGUUUUAGAAACUAUUUUUGGUAACAAGACUCAUGCAGACUAUCAAAUCACCUUGUACCAUCGCUGCUGGUGUAAAGAUUUUGAUCAUGAGUGCUUUGUUUCUUUAAAUUAUGACGUGAAAAGCUACAAACAAAAAUCUAUAAUUUGUUGCCAUGUCCCUCAGACUGGUUGACACUCAGUCUGUCACAAUAACCACCAUUUUAAAUAGAUAAAAAUAAACUUGCCCUUGACUUUGGCUUUACAUGUGUUACAGUGAAAUAAAUCCCCAACACCGUUCUCACCUGUAAGUCUGCCAUCAGUACAUGUGUGAGAUGCGGUGGUGGUUAUACACAGGCAAGCUGUGGCACAGUUUACUCUAAAUUUUAUUGCUACAUUUUUACAAAUCACUACCAAAGAAGAACUUGUUGGCAGCGGAUGGAGAGAUGAGCUGCUGCUCGUGUUUGGCUUUUUUUUCCCACCAUCCCAACUCUGCACUCACACUGCUGUACAUCCUGUGCUUCUAAGGAUGUGUGUUGUGUUAAACUGUGCUACUGGUAACUCAUUAAUAUCUAACUAUAUAUUCAAAGCUAUAAAUGGUGCUGUUAUGGAGUACUGACAGUCAGACCAGAACUGCAGUAUUUGGUCUAACCUGCAGUUGUCCUUCAACUUGUUGUUAUGAAAGUACCCCAGCUGUUAGAAAGUCAAAAUCUGGGAAAUGAAACUAAAGGUAGUGUUUGAAAAUAUACUUUACUCAAAAUGUCAUGUCAACUGCAGUGCAACAUGACCCCACUGCAUGUGAUUUAAUACAAUCAUUGUGGUCAAAUCAGAAACGAUUUAUUCCCCCAGAUUCUUUCCAACCCGUUCGUUAACUCUUCUCUCAUAUACAGUAUACCUCGUGUCCCACUACUCUGAUUUCUGAGCCUGGGUAACAGACUUUAGCACCCUCUGCUGUUUGCUCCACUCUUUGGCUGCAAAUCCACAUUUGGAGAGGGUUUUAUCAUGUAUUGUUACAGUAAUAUAUUAAAGGUUUAAUGAUCAAGUACAAACAGGACACACUCUAAAAAGGUCAGGUCUAUUUCUGCCACGUCCUGUGCUGUUGUAGAUUUGGGAUGGUGACUCUUCUUCUUUUAUGGCGUCCGCCUCUACAUAACUGCACCUGCAUGUGCCUGUUGAUACUCGACCUGCAUGAUGUGUGUGUGUGUGUGUGUGUCAUAUCAGCUCACGCUCAUUAUCUCAAACCACCGCCUCCACUCUUCCUCAGUCGCUCUCGUAGAUCAGUCUGUACUUCCUCUAGCACAGCUCUGUUUUACCAGUUUAUUCAGCUCCUAUCUGGUCAUCAGUAUGUUAUAAAGUAUUACGAUCACCUGUACUCUCUGUCGGUGUGUUGGUGCGCACGCAUGUCUGUGUGUGUGUGUGUGUGUGUGUGAGAGAGUGUGUCAUUUUACACAUUUGUUAAAUAAAUAUAAUAAAGCGUUAAAUCAAGGGAACCAACUGUGGCUUCUAUACUGAAUGUCUACAUCCAUGACAACACUAUUUGUAGGAGUUUGCCUUUUGAACCAAAGUAUUUUUAAUUAUUUGUCUUUUUCUCAUCUGUGACUGCACAUUGUGUUGGUGCAACUUUAAAACUUCCAGAAACUUCAUUAGGAUUUAUUUUGGUGGCAUUAACGUCUGAUCUAACUCCUACAACCGACCAAAAAUAAAAGCAUGUUAUUUUAUGA